rnacentral:rRNA from 1 species
GUCCGAGUGGCGACGGGUGAGUAACACGUGGGUGAUCUGCCCUGCACUUCGGGAUAAGCCCGGGAAACUGGGUCUAAUACCGGAUAGUACUGCGCGGUGCAUGCCGUGUGGUGGAAAGAUUUAUCGGUGCAGGAUGGGCCCGCGGCCUAUCAGCUUGUUGGUGGGGUAAUGGCCUACCAAGGCGACGACGGGUAGCCGGCCUGAGAGGGCGACCGGCCACACUGGGACUGAGACACGGCCCAGACUCCUACGGGAGGCAGCAGUGGGGAAUAUUGCACAAUGGGCGCAAGCCUGAUGCAGCGACGCCGCGUGAGGGAUGACGGCCUUCGGGUUGUAAACCUCUUUCAGCAGGGACGAAGCGCAAGUGACGGUACCUGCAGAAGAAGCACCGGCCAACUACGUGCCAGCAGCCGCGGUAAUACGUAGGGUGCAAGCGUUGUCCGGAAUUACUGGGCGUAAAGAGCUCGUAGGCGGUUUGUCGCGUCGUCUGUGAAAACCAGCAGCUCAACUGUUGGCUUGCAGGCGAUACGGGCAGACUUGAGUAUUUCAGGGGAGACUGGAAUUCCUGGUGUAGCGGUGAAAUGCGCAGAUAUCAGGAGGAACACCGGUGGCGAAGGCGGGUCUCUGGGAAAUAACUGACGCUGAGGAGCGAAAGCGUGGGUAGCGAACAGGAUUAGAUACCCUGGUAGUCCACGCCGUAAACGGUGGGCGCUAGGUGUGGGUUUCCUUCCACGGGAUCCGUGCCGUAGCUAACGCAUUAAGCGCCCCGCCUGGGGAGUACGCGCAGCUAAACUCAAGAUUGACGGGGGCCGCACAGCGCGAGCAUGUGAUAUCGAUGCACGCGAGACCU